CCUACGGUGGGCAGCAGUGAGGAAUAUUGGUCAAUGGACGAGAGUCUGAACCAGCCAAGUAGCGUGAAGGAUGACUGCCCUAUGGGUUGUAAACUUCUUUUAUAAAGGAAUAAAACGAGGCACGUGUGCCUUUUUGCAUGUACUUUAUGAAUAAGGAUCUGCUAACUCCGUGCCAGCAGCCGCGGUAAUACGGAGGAUCCGAGCGUUAUCCGGAUUUAUUGGGUUUAAAGGGAGCGUAGAUGGGUUGGUAAGUCAGUUGUGAAAGUUUGCGGCUCAACCGUAAAAUUGCAAUUGAUACUGGCAGUCUUGAGUACAGUUGAGGUAGGCGGAAUUCGUGGUGUAGCGGUGAAAUGCUUAGAUAUCACGAAGAACUCCGAUUGCGAAGGCAGCUUACUAAACUGCCACUGACAUUGAUGCUCGAAAGUGUGGGUAUCAAACAGGAUUAGAUACCCGGGUAGUC
rnacentral:rRNA from 1 species